rnacentral:rRNA from 1 species
AGAUAGGGAUUGCCUCAGUAACGGCGAGUGAGGCGGCAACAGCUCAGAUUUGGAAUCUGGCCCCCGCCGAGGGGCCCGAGCUGUAAUCUGCAGAGGAUGCCCCUGGCGCGGCGCCUUCCCGAGUGCCCUGGAACGGGACGCCACAGAGGGUGAGAGCCCCGUCUGGUCGGCCGCCAAGCCUCUGUGAGGAUCCCUCGACGAGUCGAGUAGUUUGAGAAUGCUGCUCAAAGCGGGAGGUAUAUGUCUUCUAAAGCUAAAUACCGGCCAGAGACCGAUAGCGCACAAGUAGAGUGAUCGAAAGAUGAAAAGCACUUUGAAAAGAGGGUUAAACAGUGCGUGAAAUUGUUGAAAGGGAAGCGCUCGUGGCCAGACUUGGGCGCGGCGGAUCACCCGGCGCUCCGCGCCGGUGCACUGCGCCGCGCCCAGGCCAGCAUCGGCCCGCCGCGCGGGACCAAAGGCGUCGGGAACGUGGCUUCCCCCCCUCCCCGGGGGAGUGUUGUUAAGCCCGGCGCGCAAUGCCGCGCGGCGGACCGAGGUUCGCGCGUCGUCCGCAAGGAUGCUGGCGUAAUGGCCACCAGCAACCCGUCUUGAAACACGGACCAAGGAGUCGUCCUCGUAUGCGAGUGUUUGGGUG